AUGGAGAGUUUGAUCCUGGCUCAGGAUGAACGCUAGCGGCAGGCCUAAUACAUGCAAGUCGAACGGUAACAGGACCAGCAAUGGUCGCUGACGAGUGGCGCACGGGUGCGUAACACGUAUGCAAUCUACCUUUAACUGGAGAAUAGCCCCGAGAAAUCGGGAUUAAUACUCCAUAAUAUUAUGAAGUGGCAUCACUUUAUAAUUAAAGCUCAGGCGGUUAAAGAUGAGCAUGCGCGAUAUUAGCUAGUUGGUGAGGUAACGGCUCACCAAGGCUACGAUAUCUAGGGGAUCUGAGAGGAUUUACCCCCACACUGGUACUGAGACACGGACCAGACUCCUACGGGAGGCAGCAGUAAGGAAUAUUGGACAAUGGGCGCAAGCCUGAUCCAGCCAUGCCGCGUGAGUGAUGAAGGCCCUAGGGUUGUAAAGCUCUUUUGUGCGGGAAGAUAAUGACGGUACCGCAAGAAUAAGCCCCGGCUAACUUCGUGCCAGCAGCCGCGGUAAUACGAAGGGGGCUAGCGUUGCUCGGAAUCACUGGGCGUAAAGGGUGCGUAGGCGGGUCUUUAAGUCAGGGGUGAAAUCCUGGAGCUCAACUCCAGAACUGCCUUUGAUACUGAAGAUCUUGAGUUCGGGAGAGGUGAGUGGAACUGCGAGUGUAGAGGUGAAAUUCGUAGAUAUUCGGAAGAACACCAGUGGCGAAGGCGGCUCACUGG
rnacentral:rRNA from 1 species